CCUACGGGUGGCUGCAGUGGGGGAUAGUGGACAAUGGGGGAAACCCUGAUCCAGCGACGCCGCGUGAGUGAAGAAGUAUUUCGGUAUGGAAAGCUCUGUCAGCAGGGAAGAAAGAAAUGACGGUACCUGACCAAGAAGCACCGGCUAACGACGUGCCAGCAGCCGCGGUAAUACGGAGGGGGCAAGCGUUAUCCGGAAUUACUGGGUGUAAAGGGAGCGUAGACGGUGAUGCACGUCUGGAUUGAAAGGCGGGGGCCCCACCCCCGGACUGCUCUGGAAACUGUGUAACUUGAGGGCAGGAGAGGUCAGCGGCAUUCCUAGUGUAGCGGUG
rnacentral:rRNA from 1 species